rnacentral:rRNA from 1 species
GCUUGGUCCUUACCUUCCCAUCAAGUACUGCCACAACUUACACAUGCAAGUUUCCGCACCCCGGUGAGAACGCCCUCUUACUCCCUACGGACUCAGGAGCCGGUAUCAGGCACAAAACUUAGCCCAAGACACCUAGCCUUGCCACACCCACAACGGGUACUCAGCAGUGAUCAACAUUAAAAAUUAGCGCCAGCUAGAUUUAGUUAAGGCAAACAGGGCCGGCAAACCUGGUGCCAGCCGCCGCGGCUACACCAUGGGGCCCAAUUUGAUGAACAUCGGCGUAAAGCGUGAUUAAAGAAACCCUCCCGCUAGAGUUAAACUAUAACUGAGCUGUGAUAAGCCUGUCAUCCAGAAACCCUAAAACGAAAGUUACUCUUCCACGACCUACUUGAACUCACGACAGCUGGGGCACAAACUGGGAUUAGAUACCCCACUAUGCCCAGCCGUAAACCUUUUACUUACAACUGUAUC